rnacentral:lncRNA from 1 species
CAAGACCUUGAUUCGAUUCAUGUGUGCUUGUAUUGGCUACAAUCGGUACAAUCGAACAAUCGUCAUAAUAAUCAUAAUAAUUUAUCAUCAGGAUCAUCAUUUUGAUCAUCGUCAUCAUCGAGUCUCCUCGACCAAUAGGAAGUGAAAUUUUUUUUUUCUUUUUUAUUUUUUCCUUUCAAUGACCAUCGAAAAUGCACUUCAGUCGAAUUCUGGUGACCUGCAUGAGUGGAAUCGAUCGACCUGAUUGUCAUUCCAAGCGUAAAACUGUAUAUAGGCUGUCUCGUUUAACUGAAGAACUCUUGAAAUAGUUUCUACGAAGGUUGUUGGAUGAUAAUAAUAAUUGUCGAUGAAGGAAAAGUCCGUCUGGUCUUUCAUACUUUUUGUCUUUUUUCUUCUUCUUCUCACUCGCGAUUGCUGACCUUUUCGUUUCGCAAUUUUAAGUGACUCACUAAGGCUGUUGUUAAAAAAAAAAAAAAAAAAAGGAAAUAAUCUAAGAAGGAAGGAAAGUAAUUAAACGUCCCUUUCCAGGAAUCGAAACGACGAUAUUGUUUUACGUUUAAAUAUCGAUCGAAAUAUAAUAGACGAAUUUUUAUUUUGAGGGUAAAAAAGAAAAUGUGAAACUCACGUUGACGAAGUAUAAAUUAUCUGUAGCAGCCUUCCCUUUUGGUGCCUUACAAAUGAAUGACGAUAAAAUAAUCAACAAAGAAGAAGAAUAAAAAUAAGAAAUUGUUGUUUGAAUAAUCGAUUAUCGUGUUGAAGAGACAGAUUCGAUUUUUCGUUUAAAAAUCGAUCGAAAUGGCAAAGAUAAUAUAGAAGAUUACGAAUUGUUGAAAUAAAAGUGAAAUAUUGCAAUUCCACGUGAGCUUUCAUAGUUGUUAAUAAAACAUUUAUGAAAAUUAGAUAAAAAAAAAAAAUAAUCAAAGAAGAAUAAAGAAAUUGUUCGAAUAAUAAUUCACUUUUGUUAUCGAAGAAACAGAUCUCACUCAGUUUGUCAUUGAAUAAAAAUCGAUCUAAAUCGAAAAAAAAAACAUAAAAAAAUAAAAAAAUGAAAAGAUAUGCGAUAAUGAUCAGUUGAAAUAAAAGUGAAACUUAGAAAUUCCAGGCGACCUUCCGCGGUUGUUAAUAAAACUGCUGAUUGAGGAGAGAUCGGACACCUUUUUGUUAUCUAAUUGUUAGCGAUGAUUGGGUAACAAGCAAACUCGUAUCUCAAGGAAGAGUUUAACGUUCGAAGGCUGUGCGUCGAUGAUUGCUGCUUUCGGGGAAGUCUCGGUGUGCGAGUAAGAGAGAGGGAAACAUUAAUAAUAAUAAUAAGAAGUAGAAGAAGGAGAAGAAGAAGCGUGAUUUACGAAGCUUAGCAAGCAAACUUAUAACGAACACGUCAGGUGUUUGGAAAUCAAAGUGUCGAUAACGUUUUAUCGAGAGAAGAAAAA